GUCCACGCCGUAAACGAUGGAUACUAGCUGUUCGGAGCAAUCUGAGUGGCUAAGCGAAAGUGAUAAGUAUCCCACCUGGGGAGUACGCACGCAAGUGUGAAACUCAAAGGAAUUGACGGGGGCCCCGCACAAGCGGUGGAGCAUGUGGUUUAAUUCGAUGAUACGCGAGGAACCUUACCAGGGCUUAAAUGUAGAUUGACAGGACUGGAAACAGUUUUUUCUUCGGACAAUUUACAAGGUGCUGCAUGGUUGUCGU
rnacentral:rRNA from 1 species